AUUGGACGCUGGCGGCAUGCCUUACACAUGCAAGUCGAACGGCAGCACGGGUGCUUGCACCUGGUGGCGAGUGGCGAACGGGUGAGUAAUACAUCGGAACAUGUCCUGUAGUGGGGGAUAGCCCGGCGAAAGCCGGAUUAAUACCGCAUACGAUCUACGGAUGAAAGCGGGGGACCUUCGGGCCUCGCGCUAUAGGGUUGGCCGAUGGCUGAUUAGCUAGUUGGUGGGGUAAAGGCCUACCAAGGCGACGAUCAGUAGCUGGUCUGAGAGGACGACCAGCCACACUGGGACUGAGACACGGCCCAGACUCCUACGGGAGGCAGCAGUGGGGAAUUUUGGACAAUGGGCGAAAGCCUGAUCCAGCAAUGCCGCGUGUGUGAAGAAGGCCUUCGGGUUGUAAAGCACUUUUGUCCGGAAAGAAAUCCUUGGCCCUAGUACGGUCGGGGGAUGACGGUACCGGAAGAAUAAGCACCGGCUAACUACGUG
rnacentral:rRNA from 1 species